rnacentral:rRNA from 1 species
UACAGAGGUCUCAAGCGUUGUUCGGAUUCAUUGGGCGUAAAGGGUGUGUAGGUGGCGCCGUAAGUCGGGUGUGAAAUCUCGGGGCUUAACUCCGAAACUGCAUUCGAUACUGCGGUGCUUGAGGACUGGAGAGGAGACUGGAAUUCCUGGUGUAGCAGUGAAAUGCGUAGAUAUCAGGAGGAAUACCGAUGGCGAAGGCAGGUCUCUGGGCUGACACUGACGCUCAUGCACGAAAGCGUGGGGAGCAAACAGG